rnacentral:rRNA from 1 species
AGAGUUUGAUCAUGGCUCAGAUUGAACGCUGGCGGCAGGCCUAACACAUGCAAGUCGAGCGGUAGCACAAGAGAGCUUGCUCUCUGGGUGACGAGCGGCGGACGGGUGAGUAAUGUCUGGGAAACUGCCUGAUGGCGGGGGAUAACUAGUGGAAACGGUAGCUAAUACCGCAUAACGUCGCAAGACCAAAGUGGGGGCCCUUCGGGCCUCACGCCAUCAGAUGUGCCCAGGUGGGAUUAGCUGGUAGGUGAGGUAACGGCUCACCUAGGCGACGAUCCCUAGCUGGUCUGAGAGGAUGACCAGCCACACUGGAACUGAGACACGGUCCAGACUCCUACGGGAGGCAGCAGUGGGGAAUAUUGCACAAUGGGCGCAAGCCUGAUGCAGC